GUCCACGCUGUAAACGUUGGGCGCUAGGUGUGGGGACCCUCUCCGGGUUUCUGCGCCGCAGCUAACGCAUUAAGCGCCCCACCUGGGGAGUACGGCCGCAAGGCUAAAACUCAAAGGAAUUGACGGGGCCCGCACAAGCGGCGGAGCAUGCGGAUUAAUUCGAUGCAACGCGAAGAACCUUACCUGGGUUUGACAUGGCCGCAAAACUGUCAGAGAUGGCAGGUCCUUCGGGGCGGUCACAGGUGGUGCAUGGCUGUCGU
rnacentral:rRNA from 1 species